rnacentral:misc_RNA from 1 species
GAUGAAGAACGUAGCGAAAUGCGAUAAGUAAUGUGAAUUGCAGAAUUCAGUGAAUCAUCGAAUCUUUGAACGCACCUUGCGCCCUUUGGACUUCUGAAGGGCAUGCCUGUUUGAGUAUCAUGAACACCUCAACUCCUUAUGGUCUUCCAUGAUGAGCUUAGACUUUGGGGGUUUUGCUGGCCUACAGUCAGCUCCUCUAAAAUAAAUCAGCUUACCGGUGUUUGGUGGGUAUCAUGGGUGUGAUAACUAUCUACGCUCGUGGUUUUCCACCAGGUAACCUUCAGCAGUGGAGGUUCACUGGAGCUCAUAGAUGUCUCUCCUCAGCGAGGACAGCCCUUUGAAUGUUUGAUCUCAAAUCAGGUAGGACUACCCGCUGAACUUAAGCAUAUCAAUAAGCGGAGGA